GUGAGGAAUUUUCCGCAAUGGGCGAAAGCCUGACGGAGCAAUGCCGCGUGAAGGAUGAAGGCCUAUGGGUUGUAAACUUCUUUUCUCAGAAAAGAAUUAUGACGGUAUCUGAGGAAUAAGCAUCGGCUAACUCUGUGCCAGCAGCCGCGGUAAGACAGAGGAUGCAAGCGUUAUCCGGAAUGAUUGGGCGUAAAGCGUCUGUAGGUUGUUUAAAAAGUAUUCUGUCAAAGAUUAGGGCUUAACCCUAGAUAGGCAGAAUAAACUUUUAAGCUAGAGUGUGGUAGAGGCAGAGGGAAUUCCCGGUGGAGCGGUGAAAUGCGUAGAUAUCGGGAGGAACACCAAAGGCGAAGGCACUCUGCUGGGCCAAUACUAACACUGAGAGACGAAAGCGAGGGGAGCAAAUGGGAUUAGAUACCCUAGUAGUCC
rnacentral:rRNA from 1 species